rnacentral:rRNA from 1 species
CAUGCAAGUCGAGCGGAACGAGGAUAGCUUGCUAUUCGGCGUCGAGCGGCGGACGGGUGAGUAAUGCUUGGGAACAUGCCUUGAGGUGGGGGACAACAGUUGGAAACGACUGCUAAUACCGCAUAAUGUCUUCGGACCAAAGGAGGGGAUCUUCGGACCUUUCGCCUUUAGAGUGGCCCAAGUGAGAUUAGCUAGUUGGUGGGGUAAAGGCCUACCAAGGCGACGAUCUCUAGCUGGUUUGAGAGGAUGAUCAGCCACACUGGGACUGAGACACGGCCCAGACUCCUACGGGAGGCAGCAGUGGGGAAUAUUGCACAAUGGGGGAAACCCUGAUGCAGCCAUGCCGCGUGUGUGAAGAAGGCCCUCGGGUUGUAAAGCACUUUCAGUCGUGAGGAAAGGGGUGUAGCUAAUAUCUGCAUCCUGUGACGUUAGCGACAGAAGAAGCACCGGCUAACUCCGUGCCAGCAGCCGCGGUAAUACGGAGGGUGCGAGCGUUAAUCGGAAUUACUGGGCGUAAAGCGUGCGUAGGCGGUUUCUUAAGCGAGAUGUGAAAUCCCGGGGCUCAACCUCGGAACUGCAUUUCGAACUGGGUGACUAGAGUACUGUAGAGGGUGGUGGAAUUUCCAGUGUAGCGGUGAAAUGCGUAGAGAUUGGAAGGAACAUCAGUGGCGAAGGCGGCCACCUGGACAGAUACUGACGCUGAGGCACGAAAGCGUGGGGAGCAAAACAGGAUUAGAUACCCUGGUAGUCCACGCCGUAAACGAUGUCACUAGCUGUCUGUGUUUCUUGAAACGUGGGUAGCGUAGCU